GGCGCUAUAGCCAAGUGGUUACGGCGACAGAUUAGAAUGCCCUCCAAUUACAGGUUCUAUCUGUUCCUCUUUGAGGGCGCAGGUUCAAAUCCUGCUGGCGUCG